rnacentral:rRNA from 1 species
GUGGGGAAUAUUGGUCAAUGGGGGAAACCCUGAACCAGCAACGCCGCGUGAAGGAAGAAGGCUUUCGGGUUGUAAACUUCUUUGACAGGGGACGAAACAAAUGACGGUACCCUGAAAACAAGCCACGGCUAACUACGUGCCAGCAGCCGCGGUAAUACGUAGGUGGCGAGCGUUGUCCGGAUUUACUGGGUGUAAAGGGCGUGUAGGCGGGACAGUAAGUCAGAUGUGAAAUGCUGAGGCUUAACCUCAGAGCUGCAUUUGAAACUAUUGUUCUUGAGUGAUGGAGAGGCAGGCGGAAUUCCGUGUGUAGCGGUGAAAUGCGUAGAUAUACGGAGGAACACCAGUGGCGAAGGCGGCCUGCUGGACAUUAACUGACGCUGAUGCGCGAAAGCGUGGGGAGCAAACAGGAUUAGAAACCCCGGUAGUCC